UUCAUUAAUCAGCUUCACUACAGUUUUUACAGAGUAAAUAGUAGCAAAGGAACAUCUGUAACUAGGCGUAGAAUAAAUAUUGAUUUCAAAUUACAUCGACUCCAGUGUUCUAACUGGCACUUAUUUCAACGACCCUGAAAAAAUGAAAGGCAAAGCCGACCUUGGCGUAAUUUGAACUCAAAACGCCCCCGAGCAUUUUGCUCGGCGUACUAACAGUUCUACCAGCUUGCCUCCUUGGUGCUGAGUAACUAUUCCUCUCUACUGUAGGCACAAGGCCUGAAAUUUUGUGGAAAGGGCUAGUCGAUUACAUCGACCUCAAUGCUUAGCUGGUACUUAUUUCAUCGACCGCUAAGCGUACUGCCCAACGUGCUAACGAUUCCGGUCACCGAAAGUUCAGCAGAAUAGGAAUUGGCGCGAAAGCAGUUGGGGACAGCAGUUUGGGCAGUCGAGUGGUAGCGGUCGUCCGAAGCAGUUGUACAGAGAUGAAGUGAAGAUGAGAAUGAUAAGUCUGACAGAGAGUGAGCGUCUAUAGUCAGCAGAAAUGCAUAGAGCAAUGAGAGAGAGAGGGAACUGUUGAAGCAGGCAAAAAGGGAAGUACUUGGUUACUUGGAUAUAGUGAGUUUUGUGAAAGAAAGGAAUUGAGUACAGCAAAGCCAACAAUUCAAGUCAACGCUCAAGACAGCCAUUAUGUCCCCACACAUAAAACCCUUCCACGUGGACUCUGUUGACACCAGUAAGAAACAAUUAUGAACUUUUCUUUUAAUUACAUUUUUUACAUAUAUGUAUUUUUGAUAAGGUUCGUUUUUUCAGGAACCGAAACAUGUAAAAUAUCUCUGAGAAAAUUAAAAUUUAUCGUAUAUA